GAUGAACGCUAGCGGCAGGCUUAAUACAUGCAAGUCGAGGGGCAUCAAGGUACACGAAAGUGUAUUGUUGGCGACCGGCGGACGGGUGAGUAAUAGGUAGGUAACCUACCUCAUACUGAGGCAUAGCUGGGAGAAAUUCCAGGUAAUUCCUCAUGAGGUUAUAUGACACAUGUGAUAUAAUCAAAGGUAUCGCAAGGUACUGGUAUGAGAUGGGCUUACUGACCAUUAGCUAGUUGGUGAGAUAAGAGCUCACCAAGGCGAAGAUGGUUAGGGGUUUUGAGAGAGAGAUCCCCCACAUUGGAACUGAGAUACGGUCCAGACUCCUACGGGAGGCAGCAGUAGGGAAUAUUGGGCAAUGGGCGAAGCCUGACCCAGCCAUGCCGCGUGAAGGAAGACGGCCUUAUGGGUUGUAAACUUCUUUACUAUGCGACUAACUAGAUUUACGAGAUAAUUCUAUAGAAUGUAGCAUAGCAAAAGCACC
rnacentral:rRNA from 1 species